AUUUGGUUAUAGGGACAGAAAGGUGGCUUACGUACCCCUCUCAGCGAUGUGUGUGGGAAUCAUAGAGGAGCAGGCUGAUGGAAUGUCUAUGAAUUUCUUAGACGACUGUGACUUCCUUGGUCUUGGAGAAUGACAACGUGAUGGUUUUCUCCAUGCUGCUCCGCUGACAGCGUGAUGUCUGCUCCUUGGCCCUGCUUGUCCCCAGCGGAACACCUUGGACUGAGCUUCUGCAGUGAUGCCUUAAUAAACAAAGAAGAGAUGA